GGGAAGUUGGCUCAGUGGUAGAGUGCUUGCUUUGCAUGCAUGAAGCCCUGGGUUCGAUUCCUCAGUACCA
rnacentral:tRNA from 1 species